GGAACGGAAAGGAAAGAAGUUUUCGUUCAGAGAUAAAUUCCCCUUUUUUUGUGUGGUUUUGAAAGAAUCUGCGAUCUUCAGAACCUGUGGGGCCUUGCUUUUGCGGUUGGAAAUGCAGAUACAGCAACAGGCUCUACAGUGCUGGGGGAGUCCGUGACUUUGUUUCACUGGUUACUAUGAGAACGAUCCUGUCCCGCGGCGCACCGUGACGUCACAGCCCGGCGACGCGGAAGCGGACGACGUGUGCAGGCGCGCGGCAGCGCCGUGAGGACAGGUGAGUAUGAUUUGCACACUGAUAUCUUUGUCUGUGAUGUAUUUAAAUGUUUUGUAUA